UUGGCUCUCGCAUCGAUGAAGAACGCAGCGAAAUGCGAUAAGUAAUGUGAAUUGCAGAAUUCAGUGAAUCAUCGAAUCUUUGAACGCACCUUGCGCUCCUUGGUAUUCCGAGGAGCAUGCCUGUUUGAGUGUCAUUAAAUUCUCAACCUUUGUUAGC
rnacentral:rRNA from 1 species